GGCGGGGCCAAGGUCCCCAGGCGGCCCUGCCAGUCCAGAUACCCCGUCUCCACCCAGGCUGGGCCCCACGGCCCCCUGGGUUCCUGGGGAGGGACUUGGGUGCUUUAAACUGCACACCCCCUCCCCAGAGAGUGGCCUCCGGGGGAGGGCCGCACAGCCUGUUCCCUAGAUGAACUCGGGAAGCGAUAGGGGCUGGGGACGCCAAGUCACCUCCGGCUGGAGUGGACCUCCUUAGGUUAGAUAAAUGGGACCACCAUGCCUGGGGUGGCAUCUUCCUGACCGCAGUGCCGGCCUCCUGGAGGCGGGGAUGGACCCAUUGCGCCCACUCAGCGUCUGGCUCCUUAAUGAAUGCUUAUUUUUGACCCUGAGGUUAGGGGAACCCAUCUCUCGGAUGGCGACAUUAGGGCUCAGAGGGCGAGCCAGUGCCUUGCGGUCCAGGGCGUGCUCCAGGUAGACGCAGCAACUGCGGAACAGAGGCUGAGAAGGAUGACUGUUUAUAAACAUUUGGAAUUUUAUUUAAAAAAAAAGGAAAACAUCACGACCAUGAACACUGUUACAGUCAGAGGCCCUCUGGGUUCUCCGCACGGUACUGAGCAUGCUCACAGGGGGUUCCCAUUAUUUAGUCUUAGUUAAACAACCAUCUUUAAAAGAAGGAAAGAAAAAACUCAGCACACUACCAUUUAACUUGUUUUAAUGUUUCUUCACAAAUGGUGAAAAGUACUAAAGUACAGACAAGGAAUAAUCAUAAUGUUGUGGCCAACAUUAUAAAUAUGGAAUUAUAAAUUUAAAACAUUUUCUGGUUUAAAAAAUAAA